rnacentral:rRNA from 1 species
GACAUGUACGGAACCCUCCAGAGAUGAGGGUGCUCGAAAGAGAGCCGUAACACAGGUGCUGCAUGGCUGUCGUCAGCUCGUGUCGUGAGAUGUUGGGUUAAGUCCCGCAACGAGCGCAACCCUUGUCAUUAGUUGCUACAUUUAGUUGGGCACUCUAAUGAGACUGCCGGUGACAAACCGGAGGAAGGUGGGGAUGACGUCAAGUCCUCAUGGCCCUUAUAGGUGGGGCUACACACGUCAUACAAUGGCCGGUACAAAGGGUUGCCAACCCGCGAGGGGGAGCCAAUCCCAUAAAGCCAGUCGUAGUCCGGAUCGUAGUCUGCAACUCGACUACGUGAAGUCGGAAUCGCUAGUAAUCGUGGAUCAGAAUGUCACGGUGAAUACGUUCCCGGGUCUU